rnacentral:rRNA from 1 species
UAUCAAUAAGCGGAGGAAAAGAAACCAACAGGGAUUGCCCUAGUAACGGCGAGUGAAGCGGCAACAGCUCAAAUUUGAAAUCUGGCGCAAGCCCGAGUUGUAAUUUGUAGAGGAUGCUUCUGGGCAGCGGCCGGUCUAAGUUCCUUGGAACAGGACGUCACAGAGGGUGAGAAUCCCGUAUGUGACCGGCGCGCACCCUCCACGUAGCUCCUUCGACGAGUCGAGUUGUUUGGGAAUGCAGCUCUAAAUGGGAGGUAAAUUUCUUCUAAAGCUAAAUACCGGCCAGAGACCGAUAGCGCACAAGUAGAGUGAUCGAAAGAUGAAAAGCACUUUGGAAAGAGAGUUAAAAAGCACGUGAAAUUGUUGAAAGGGAAGCGCUUGCAACCAGACUCCGCGGCGGUGUUCCGCCGGUCUUCUGACCGGUCCACUCGCCGCCGCGGGGCCAACAUCGUCUGGGGCCGCCGGACAAGACUGGAGGAAUGUAGCUCCCUCGGGAGUGUUAUAGCCUUCAGUGAUGCGGCGCGUCCCGGGCGAGGUCCGCGCUUCGGCAAGGAUGUUGGCGUAAUGGUUGCCAGCGGCCCGUCUUGAAACACGGACCAAGGAGUCUAACAUCUAUGCGAGUGUUCGGGUGUCAAACCCCUACGCGUAAUGAAAGUGAACGGAGGUGGGAGCUUCGGCGCACCAUCGACCGAUCCUGAUGUCCUCGGAUGGAUUUGAGUAAGAGCAUAGCUGUUGGGACCCGAAAGAUGGUGAACUAUGCCUGAAUAGGGUGAAGCCAGAGGAAACUCUGGUGGAGGCUCGCAGCGG